rnacentral:rRNA from 1 species
AUACGGAGGGUGCAAGCGUUACUCGGAAUCACUGGGCGUAAAGCGCGCGCAGGCGGUCUUUUAAGUUGGAUGUGAAAGCCUACGGCUCAACCGUAGAACUGCAUCCAAAACUAUUAGACUAGAGUGUGGGAGAGGAAGAUGGAAUUAGUUGUGUAGGGGUAAAAUCCGUAGAGAUAACUAGGAAUACCAAAAGCGAAGGCAAUCUUCUGGAACACUACUGACGCUGAGGCGCGAAGGCGUGGGGAGCAAACAGGAUUAGAUACCCGUGUAGUCC